rnacentral:snRNA from 1 species
AGCUUUGCACAGUGGCAGUAUUGUAGCCAAUGAGCUUUAUCCAAGGUAUGAUUAUUGCUCAUUGAAAUUCAGAAAAAGUGGG